rnacentral:rRNA from 1 species
UACAGAGGGUGCAAGCGUUAAUCGGAUUUACUGGGCGUAAAGCGUGCGUAGGCGGCUAUUUAAGUCGGAUGUGAAAGCCCUGGGCUCAACCUGGGAACUGCAUUCGAUACUGGAUAGCUGGAGAUCGGUAGAGGGCGGCGGAAUUCCGGGUGUAGCGGUGAAAUGCGUAGAUAUCCGGAGGAACACCGAUGGCGAAGGCAACCGCCUGGGCCUGAUCUGACGCUGAGGCACGAAAGCGUGGGGAGCAAACAGG